UGUCUGGGCAAUCAGAAAGGUAGUUUGCUCUUAGGGCACAUCCAUGCUGAUACUGGGAAGGAAGCUGCAGCAUGUGCAUGUGCACCCAAGCCAGCCUGAACAGAAGUAUCUUUUCAACAUGCGUAUUUCCCUCACACUGAUCAGAAAUGCUGAGAUCUAAUCCAGGAGAGCUAAUGGUGAUCACACAGGAGGAAAAAAAAAUAAGGAUCACUUUUAUGACUCCUUUCAUUCAGCUGACUUACAGUGGCAAUUUUGUGCACUCAGCUGAAACACAAGCAUCAUGCUAGUGACCAACUUCAGGCAGUGGCAACAAUGGGUAUAACCAUGCAAAUAUGGUAUAGAGUUCUCUGAAGCAAGAGGGAACCUAAGGGCCAGGAGCUCUUGCCAAACAGUGAGUGGCAGAGCACAGUGGUCACCCCGUGGAUUUACUAGAACAGCUACUACUCAUCGGUCACAGUUUUCACUCUAAGAAAAGAGGGAAGAGUUGUCAUUAGGCAGUCAGAAUUGCAGGCUGAUAUAGUGUAAGAGCAGCUGGAUCUCUGUAAGUUAACUCCAGGGCUGUAAGUUAACUCCACGCUCUUGGGUCUUAUCUCAGGUAAGGAUCUGCUGCCUAGAUCUGUAUUCUGAGUUUGGAAAUAAACAGAACCAAAACAAAGUAAUAGCCACAGUGGGUGAGUCUCUAUGUUUGACAAUGGCUUAGAAAGCAGCCAAAACAAAAUCAGUCAUAAAAGAUUAGUGAAUGAGCUCAUCAGCCUUCUACUGAUCAAAGCCACUGAGUGUCAUGCCUGACCCAGGGCUGGCCUGUGCCCUCUGGGCUGUAGGACUACUGCUAGAGCUACACGUUAACACUAGCACAGAA